GACGAACCGUGCGAACGUUGUUCGGAAUCACUGGGCUUAAAGGGCGCGUAGGCGGCUUCGCAAGUCUGUGGUGAAAGCCCCCAGCUCAACUGGGGAAGUGCCGUGGAUACUGUGAGUCUGGAGGAGGGUAGGGGCAUCUGGAACGCUGGGUGGAGCGGUGAAAUGCGUUGAUAUCCAGCGGAACUCCGGUGGCGAAGGCGAGGUGCUGGACCCUUUCUGACGCUGAUGCGCGAAAGCCAGGGGAGCAAACGGG
rnacentral:rRNA from 1 species